rnacentral:lncRNA from 1 species
AGUCAUUCUAUUAAAAAGAAGAAAUAUUCGAUGUUACUUAUGUUUGUUACAUUGAAACACUAGAGCAACCAUUACAUAAAAGAACACUUAAACACAACGCACGCUAGCUAGUGGUUCAGAGACGCCGGCCAGCUGAAACUUCCCAUGCUUGAAGCCCAGCUGCGCUCCACAGCGUUGCUUCCUGCACGAUGGCUGCGGACAUCGGUGUAACACGCUCAUGCAGCGAUCGCUCGUCGAGGAACGCAACCUUGGCGGCCUCUGGCUGUGGUCCGUAGACCGUGGUGAGGCACCAUGGAGCGGAGUGGCCACUCACAGAGAUCGUCGCCGUGAUCGAGUACCGGCCCUGAUGCAGAGGAGAACACACCACGUCCGGGCCCUUGCAGGCCAACAAGAUUUCCCCGCUAGCCCCUGUGGUCGGCAGAUACACGAACGUGGAGAACGCGUUGCCAAGAGUCUCAGCUGCCGGGAAGUGUGAAAGUAUAUGAAGCUUCGUUUCCUGGACGCAAACGAUGGAGGCGUUCGCGUCGCUUGCCACUGAACGCAGUGCAUCCCGGCGACAUCGUGCGCGGCGCGCACGUUCCACACCAAAAUGUUGAGAUUCGCCGUAUUCAUGUUGUGUGAC